CAUGGUCUGCUGCGCGACGGCUGCGUUCGCGGCUAUCCAUCCGGCCACGGCCGGGUCGUGUGAGUCGUCCAAAAACUGUACCCCACCGUUGCGCAUUUUGGGCGCGUCCGACGGAUCUGCUCGACACAACAAACGCAGUAUAGUAGUAACGAGCGAAGCCCAAAUUACAUCUCGUAUAGUAUAGUACAUCACGAAACGAUCGUAUUAUUAUAUAGUAUAUAAUAUAUACACUAUAUUGCCUUUUAAUAAAUCGAGAUUAAUUUACCGUUGCCGCGACACGAGAUUAAUACUUAUGACGGAGCUAAAUUAGUUCAAUUGAUCGGAAUUCUACGUACUGUCCAAUAACUAAUACCUAGUACAAUUGUUGUGGCCGUAGGAAAUGUGAUGGAAGCAAUCGGAGGGGCUAUAUCGAACGGACGGUGGUUCGAAUCGAGCAGAUAUAGCUGACAGCAUUAUAUUUUAACAGCUGACUCUUGCCUACGAUACACGGUGAACCGAAUGUAUUAUUAUAAAAGCUGUGUCGACGAUAACGCAGCAGAAGACGCAAGAGCACUGGUGGGAGUUACAAACAGGUGUCAUUGCGUCGUCGAUUUGUCACUACGCGGAUUAUAAAAACAACGAUAUAAAUUCCAUUGCUUCUAUAACUUCUAUUGGUUUUAUGAAGUUUUUGUAAGUUCUACUAAUCUUUACAUAGGCAAUUAUUUUUAAAAACGCACAAUAGAAUAAAUUAUUUUGUAAAACUAUACUAAUACCUAUUUCUUUCUUUAGAAAUUACUUGACGUUUACGACAUAUUAUUAUUAUUGAAAUCAAACUUCAAUAUCGAUCCACUCGAUAUACGUUUUACGAAUACGAGUGUUUUAAGGACAUUAAUGGUGCUAUCGUCAAUGUGAUUAUGGAAAGUUUGAUAAGUAUACGACAAUGGGAAAAGGAAAAGAAUAGUAUAGGUACUCUUGAUUGAAUAAAAACGGAAUGUAUCGAAUGUUUACGAGUUUUGAGUUGAAAAAAUGUCGGUAAAGAUCGGAAAUAUCAAACCACGAAAAACAAUUAGGUACUAUUUAUUUUCAAUUUUAUCAAUUAAAAGCAUACAUAUAUUUUAUAUCAAAAUGGUUUUAAUCAAAUGCAAUACAUCAUUUAUAAGUGUUAAACACAUAUAUAUAUAUAUUCUAGCUGUUACUCGCGUGCUCCGCUCCCGUGAAUAGUUGUUUGCAAAUUGUAGGGCUGUUUCUUUGUCUUAUAUAGUUAUUUCGAUGAUUCGAUCAUAAAAUGCUAUAAAGUGUUUAUAUCUUAUACGCGAAAUAAUACAAAUUCAAAUUUUUUUUUUAAUUCUCAUAAAUAUACUCAUAGGUAAAAAAAAUUUCUCACAUUAAUAUCAUUAUUAUUAAAAUAAUAUAAAAACAUAUUAUAUAAUAAUAUUAAAACGUCGUUAAAUGAAUAACAAUCAUAAUGAUUAUUAAACUAUAACAUUGGGCGUGACAUUUUGUGGGUCUUCGCAUCAUUCAGCCAAUCGGAGCGCUACUGACGUAUACUAUACUACUUUUCUAUUGGUUAUUAUUAUUCGAUGCGUUUUAACCUAUCUUAACUAUUCGAGUCUUAAGAUUAAGUAUGCCAGUCAUAGUUAGAACGCAGUGAUCUAUACUUCAAACCUCGCGGGAUCGUUCAAAGCACCGAGCCGUUGUAACAUCUCAUAUACGUCGACAAUAAUAAUUGAUUCAUCAUCGAUUCUACAUACACAUUCUAAGGUUAGUCGUAGGAAAUUAGUUAAUUAUUCGCUUUAAAAAAAAUAUUUUAAUAUAUUAUAAUAAUAUAUAAUGCAUAAUAUAAAAUACGUUGAAA